rnacentral:rRNA from 1 species
GUUGUAUGGUUAAGUGACUAAGCGUACACGGUGGAUGCCUGGGCAGUCAGAGGCGAUGAAGGACGUACUAACUUGCGAUAAGCGUAGAUGAGGCAGUAAGAGCCACUUGAGUCUACGAUUUCCGAAUGGGGAAACCCAGCUGCAUAAGCAGUUAUCUCAAUGUGAAUUCAUAGCAUUGUGAGGCGAACCGGGGGAACUGAAACAUCUAAGUACCCCGAGGAAGAGAAAUCAACCGAGAUUCCGGCAGUAGCGGCGAGCGAAACCGGAUUAGCCCUUAAGCUAAUCUUGCGUUAGGUGAACAUGCUGGAAAGCAUGGCAAUAAAGGGUGAUAGCCCCGUAACCAACAGCGCAUUAUCAGUGAAAUCGAGUAGGACGGGACACGUGUUAUCCUGUCUGAAUAUGGGGGGACCAUCCUCCAAGGCUAAAUACUCCUGACUGACCGAUAGUGAACCAGUACCGUGAGGGAAAGGCGAAAAGUACCCCUGUGAGGGGAGUGAAAUAGAACCUGAAACCGUGUACGUACAAGCAGUAGGAGCAGGCUUGUCCUGUGACUGCGUACCUUUUGUAUAAUGGGUCAGCGACUUAAUUUUAGUAGCAAGGUUAACCAUCUAGGGGAGCCGUAGGGAAACCGAGUCUUAACUGGGCGUCAUAGUUGCUAGGAUUAGACCCGAAACCGAGUGAUCUAGCCAUGGGCAGGUUGAAGAUUGAGUAACAUCAAUUGGAGGACCGAACCGACUAAUGUUGAAAAAUUAGCGGAUGACUUGUGGCUAGGGGUGAAAGGCCAAUCAAACUCGGAGAUAGCUGGUUCUCCCCGAAAGCUAUUUAGGUAGCGCCUCGGACGAAUACUACUGGGGGUAGAGCACUGUUAAGGCUAGGGGGUCAUCCCGACUUACCAACCCUUUGCAAACUCCGAAUACCAGUAAGUACUAUCCGGGAGACACACGGCGGGUGCUAACGUCCGUCGUGAAGAGGGAAACAACCCAGACCGCCAGCUAAGGUCCCAAAGUUAUAGCUAAGUGGGAAACGAUGUGGGAAGGCUCAGACAGCCAGGAUGUUGGCUUAGAAGCAGCCAUCAUUUAAAGAAAGCGUAAUAGCUCACUGGUCGAGUCGGCCUGCGCGGAAGAUUUAACGGGGCUAAGAUAUACACCGAAGCUGCGGCAAUGUGCU